rnacentral:rRNA from 1 species
GACGAACGCUGGCGGCGUGCCUAAUACAUGCAAGUCGAACGCACUCUCGUUUAGAUUGAAGGAGCUUGCUCCUGAUUGAUAAACAUUUGAGUGAGUGGCGGACGGGUGAGUAACACGUGGGUAACCUGCCCUAAAGUGGGGGAUAACAUUUGGAAACAGAUGCUAAUACCGCAUAAAACCUAACACCGCAUGGUGUAGGGUUGAAAGAUGGUUUCGGCUAUCACUUUAGGAUGGACCCGCGGUGCAUUAGUUAGUUGGUGAGGUAAAGGCUCACCAAGACCGUGAUGCAUAGCCGACCUGAGAGGGUAAUCGGCCACACUGGGACUGAGACACGGCCCAGACUCCUACGGGAGGCAGCAGUAGGGAAUCUUCCACAAUGGACGAAAGUCUGAUGGAGCAACGACCGCGUGAGUGAAGAAGGUUUUACGGAUCGUAAAACUCUGUUGUUGGAGAGAAUGAUCUGAUAGUAACUGAUCAGGUAGUGAC